rnacentral:rRNA from 2 species
CGGAGUUACAAAGGACGACAUUAGACGAAUCAUCUGGAAAGAUGAAUCAAAGAAGGUAAUAAUCCUGUAGUCGAAAAUGUUGUCUCUCUUGAGUGGAUCCUGAGUACGACGGAGCACGUGAAAUUCCGUCGGAAUCUGGGAGGACCAUCUCCUAAGGCUAAAUACUCUCUAGUGACCGAUAGUGAACCAGUACCGUGAGGGAAAGGUGAAAAGCACCCCGGAAGGGGAGUGAAAUAGAACCUGAAACCGUGUGCUUACAAGUAGUCAGAGCCCGUUAAUGGGUGAUGGCGUGCCUUUUGUAGAAUGAACCGGCGAGUUACGAUUUGAUGCAAGGUUAAGCAGUAAAUGUGGAGCCGUAGCGAAAGCGAGUCUGAAUAGGGCGUUUAGUAUUUGGUCGUAGACCCGAAACCAGGUGAUCUACCCUUGGUCAGGUUGAAGUUCAGGUAACACUGAAUGGAGGACCGAACCGACUUACGUUGAAAAGUGAGCGGAUGAACUGAGGGUAGCGGAGAAAUUCCAAUCGAACCUGGAGAUAGCUGGUUCUCUCCGAAAUAGCUUUAGGGCUAGCCUCAAGUGAUGAUUAUUGGAGGUAGAGCACUGUUUGGACGAGGGGCCCCUCUCGGGUUACCGAAUUCAGACAAACUCCGAAUGCCAAUUAAUUUAACUUGGGAGUCAGAACAUGGGUGAUAAGGUCCGUGUUCGAAAGGGAAACAGCCCAGACCACCAGCUAAGGUCCCAAAAUAUAUGUUAAGUGGAAAAGGAUGUGGCGUUGCCCAGACAACUAGGAUGUUGGCUUAGAAGCAGCCAUCAUUUAAAGAGUGCGUAAUAGCUCACUAGUCGAGUGACACUGCGCCGAAAAUGUACCGGGGCUAAACAUAUUACCGAAGCUGUGGAUUGUCCUUUGGACAAUGGUAGGAGAGCGUUCUAAGGGCGUUGAAGCAUGAUCGUAAGGACAUGUGGAGCGCUUAGAAGUGAGAAUGCCGGUGUGAGUAGCGAAAGACGGGUGAGAAUCCCGUCCACCGAUUGACUAAGGUUUCCAGAGGAAGGCUCGUCCGCUCUGGGUUAGUCGGGUCCUAAGCUGAGGCCGACAGGCGUAGGCGAUGGAUAACAGGUUGAUAUUCCUGUACCACCUAUAAUCGUUUUAAUCGAUGGGGGGACGCAGUAGGAUAGGCGAAGCGUGCGAUUGGAUUGCACGUCUAAGCAGUAAGGCUGAGUAUUAGGCAAAUCCGGUACUCGUUAAGGCUGAGCUGUGAUGGGGAGAAGACAUUGUGUCUUCGAGUCGUUGAUUUCACACUGCCGAGAAAAGCCUCUAGAUAGAAAAUAGGUGCCCGUACCGCAAACCGACACAGGUAGUCAAGAUGAGAAUUCUAAGGUGAGCGAGCGAACUCUCGUUAAGGAACUCGGCAAAAUGACCCCGUAACUUCGGGAGAAGGGGUGCUCUUUAGGGUUAACGCCCAGAAGAGCCGCAGUGAAUAGGCCCAAGCGACUGUUUAUCAAAAACACAGGUCUCUGCUAAACCGUAAGGUGAUGUAUAGGGGCUGACGCCUGCCCGGUGCUGGAAGGUUAAGAGGAGUGGUUAGCUUCUGCGAAGCUACGAAUCGAAGCCCCAGUAAACGGCGGCCGUAACUAUAACGGUCCUAAGGUAGCGAAAUUCCUUGUCGGGUAAGUUCCGACCCGCACGAAAGGCGUAACGAUUUGGGCACUGUCUCAACGAGAGACUCGGUGAAAUCAUAGUACCUGUGAAGAUGCAGGUUACCCGCGACAGGACGGAAAGACCCCGUGGAGCUUUACUGUAGCCUGAUAUUGAAAUUCGGCACAGCUUGUACAGGAUAGGUAGGAGCCUUUGAAACGUGAGCGCUAGCUUACGUGGAGGCGCUGGUGGGAUACUACCCUAGCUGUGUUGGCUUUCUAACCCGCACCACUUAUCGUGGUGGGAGACAGUGUCAGGCGGGCAGUUUGACUGGGGCGGUCGCCUCCUAAAAGGUAACGGAGGCGCUCAAAGGUUCCCUCAGAAUGGUUGGAAAUCAUUCAUAGAGUGUAAAGGCAUAAGGGAGCUUGACUGCGAGACCUACAAGUCGAGCAGGGUCGAAAGACGGACUUAGUGAUCCGGUGGUUCCGCAUGGAAGGGCCAUCGCUCAACGGAUAAAAGCUACCCCGGGGAUAACAGGCUUAUCUCCCCCAAGAGUUCACAUCGACGGGGAGGUUUGGCACCUCGAUGUCGGCUCAUCGCAUCCUGGGGCUGUAGUCGGUCCCAAGGGUUGGGCUGUUCGCCCAUUAAAGCGGUACGCGAGCUGGGUUCAGAACGUCGUGAGACAGUUCGGUCCCUAUCCGUCGUGGGCGUAGGAAAUUUGAGAGGAGCUGUCCUUAGUACGAGAGGACCGGGAUGGACAUACCUCUGGUGUACCAGUUGUCGUGCCAACGGCAUAGCUGGGUAGCUAUGUGUGGACGGGAUAAGUGCUGAAAGCAUCUAAGCAUGAAGCCCCCCUCAAGAUGAGAUUUCCCAACUUCGGUUAU